AUGUCGACGCUCAGAACUUUGAGAGCAAGACCUCAGAGAGGUUUCCCUCUGAUCUGUCUGACAUAUGAUUAUAUGGAGCAUAUGGUCAAAUUUUCGGGCCGGACUGUGGGUCUCAAAAGAUCUCAAGAGAAAGAGGACUAUUUUGAUAUUGAGUUUGAAACUCAAAGAGAGGCCAGCUAUGUGUUUUACGUUCUCAAUGGAAAGGUGCCACUCAUGGAGUUCAGUUGGGCUCCGAGGAACCUUACCAGCAAAAAACCACCAUCAGGAGUAGUGGAAGUUUCCUUCAUACCACCAACUUAUGACCUUGAUGCCUACAGCGAGACGCCGUCACUGCCAAUCCCCGCCAACCAGCCAUUCCCCACAGUGUGGAAAAUCCCAACACAGAAUGACCCACUGGCACAACCUGACCAACUUCCUGCAAUGCGGUAUCCCCCAAGCAGGGUUCAGAUGGACCAAGUGGACCCGCGCCCUCCAUACGAAGCACGCUUCUGGCCACAAGUCCUUCCGACAUACUAA
rnacentral:rRNA from 1 species